rnacentral:rRNA from 1 species
GCCUCCCUGCCAGUAUCUACUGCCAUGCCACCCUGAUCCCAGAAAAUAAGGGAUCAGGGCCUGGCCAGUACUUUGAUAGGAGACUGCCUGGGAAUACAAGGUGCUAAAGGCU